rnacentral:rRNA from 1 species
AACGCGAAGAACCUUACCAACCCUUGACAUGGGGAUCGCGGUUUGCAGAGAUGUUUUCGUUCAGUUCGGGUGGAUCCCAGACAGGUGCUGCAUGGCUGUCGUCAGCUCGUGUCGUGAGAUGUUCGGUUAAGUCCGGCAACGAGCGCAACCCACACUUUCAGUUGCCAUCAUUCAGUUGGGCACUCUGGAAGAACUGCCGAUGAUAAGUCGGAGGAAGGUGUGGAUGACGUCAAGUCCUCAUGGCCCUUACGGGUUGGGCUACACACGUGCUACAAUGGCAGUGACAAUGGGUUAAUCCCAAAAAGCUGUCUCAGUUCGGAUUGGGGUCUGCAACUCGACCCCAUGAAGUCGGAAUCGCUAGUAAUCGCGUAACAGCAUGACGCGGUGAAUACGUUCCCGGGUCUUGUACACACCG